rnacentral:misc_RNA from 1 species
CUUGUUUAUUUUCUUGAUGCCCAUUCUCACUGGCAUUCUCCUCGGGCUUCCCGUCGAGACGAGGGCGCUUGGCCUCCGAUUCGUCAGAAGUGGCAACGUCGACAGUAUCAGGAGCAGCAGACUCCUCAUUGGGCUCGGCAUGGUUCUCGUCGAGGGUUUCAGUGGGUUCGUUGUCCAAAUCUGCAAGCUUGCGCUUGUGAUCCAAGGGCUCGGGGCUGGCCGCUCCGGUAGCUACGACGACUUCCUCCGCCAUGGUGGUGACCAAGAAAGGCGUAUUGAAGUGGUGUCGG